UGAACAUACAAACAGUGAUCUUUCUAUGUCAUGUUGAACUGAGCAGGAGAUCCCUUCAACUGAAUCUGAGCUGGCCAGCUUCCUGAUCUAAACAGGAGAAGGUCUAGAAAUAGGACUAAACUAAAAACAACUGAAGAAACUUCACACAAUAAGCAAUACUGGCCAAAUCCUGCUGAGAUCCUGGGGAUAAAGUGAGAGAAUUGAACAAAAUGUCAACAUCCUGACCCUGUGAAAGGUCUGUAGUGGCCAAGACACUGACCUUUCCAGUCUACAGGUUUGGGACGUGGCAUUUCUCUGUCUGAGCUUCUCUGAGCCCCUAGCCACGGAAACAAAGACUGAGCUACAGAAGAGACAGUGUUGGUUGGCAUUCUUCCCAUUGUUACUGAAGAUAUUGCAGAUCUUCAGUAGCUCUCAUUCCGUUAGUAUUUCAAUAUCAAUCUGUAUCUACAUAUAAAUAGUACGUUCAUAUUGAAUCUUCUCUCCAAUGGCUCCCCGUUACGUUAGUGUCUCUACUCUAUAUACAAACAUCACAUAUUUAGUUUAACUUUGUUGUUCAAUUUAAACAUGAAAAUACUAAGAGGAUCAUUUUCAGGGUUCUGACUCCUCCCACUAGUAUCAGAUGGAACACAUUCUGACUCCUCCCAGUAGUAUCAGAUGGAACACAUUCUGACUCCUCCCAGUAGUAUCAGAUGGAACACAUUCUGACUCCUCCCGCUAGUAUCAGAUGGAACACAUUCUGACUCCUCCCAGUAGUAUCAGAUGGAACACAUUCUGACUCCUCCCAGUAGUAUCAGAUGGAACACAUUCUGACUCCUCCCAGUAGUAUCAGAUGGAACACAUUCUGACUCCUCCCGCUAGUAUCAGAUGGAACACAUUCUGACUCCUCCCGCCUAGUAUCAGAUGGAACACAUUCUGACUCCUCCCAGUUGUAUCAGAUGGAACACAUUCUGACUCCUCCCAGUUGUAUCAGAUGGAACACAUUCUGACUCCUCCCAGUAGUAUCAGAUGGAACACAUUCUGACUCCUCCCAGUAGUAUCAGAUGGAACACAUUCUGACUCCUCCCAGUAGCAGGGAUAUUGAAUUUCCUGUUUAGUCCUAUUCCCCUCUUCACAAAAAAAUGCUGGCGCUCGUCAUUGAUUUUGCACCAAAUAACCCCACACAGCAAGUAAGACAAUGUAUAAAUUAUUGUGUAGAGUAGAGCACCAGUCUCUCAGGCUUGACCCUCUCACCCCUGUCCUCCCCUAUAAGCCUAAAGGUCAUAUCAUAAAGAGAUUGUCUCCAGAUAAUAUAGUACAGAAACAUCAAAUCUCUCCAUCUGUUCUCCUCCCUGCUGGGAGUUGAGUGGAUUUAAUUGUGUUAAGCUCCACUGUGGAUUCCUCAAAAGUUUUUCAUUACAGAAAUCUAUAUCAAUCCGCCUCCCUCCUGUCAAACUAAUACGUUCUUAGAUCCCCAAUGACCCUCUAGAACACAUCUCUCUGAGUUUCACCAGAGUAUGGCUCGUGCCCAUACAGCAGCUAAAACUUCAUGUGAAGGCGCUUAGCUACCUGAUGAAUAUUCUUCCAACGUUUCUGUUUUGCUGUUACAUCGCUACUACCUCGCUCACCAACCAACAGUUGACCUGCAGGGGGAAACCUUCUAACCAAGGCCUUUAGAAAGAAACAAGGAGAUUAGGGACAGAGGUGUUGGAGGCAAAUCAGAGGAAUUAACUGUCUUUAACAGAGAGGUCAUGGCGUAAGCCUGCCGUGUCAUUUACAGUAUGUAUCAUUUACAGUAUGUAUCAUUUACAGUAUGUAUCAUAUCAUUUACAGUAUGUAUCGGUUACAGUAUGUAUCAUUUACAGUAGGUAUCAUUUACAGUAGGUAUAAUUCCACAUGAUCUAUGGGAUGGUUGUGCAUCUGGAAUAUGAACAUAGCUUAAACUAGCUGAAAGAAUGUUCCCUAGCCUAGAAUGUUCCCUAGCCUGGAAUGUUCCCUAGCCUAGAAUGUUCCCUAGCCUGGAAUGUUCCCCUAGCCUAGAAUGUUCCCUAGCCUAGAAUGUUCCCUAGCCUGGAAUGUUCCCUAGCCUAGAAUGUUCCCUAGCCUGGAAUGUUCCCUAGCCUGGAAUGUUCCCUAGCCUAGAAUGUUCCCUAGCCUGGAAUGUUCCCUAGCCUGGAAUGUUCCCUAGCCUAGAAUGUUCCCUAGCCUAGAAUGUUCCCUAGCCUAGAAUGUUCCCUUUCAUUUAAAAGUAGAGAAUUCUGUUGUUUAUUUUUUGUUCUUCAUAAUCAUACUGCUGGCAAUAGAGGAGAGAAGUGUUGAUGCAUGUUCCUAAUUGGUUUCCAACUCUGUUUCCAGUCUCUUGUUAAUAUGAUGAGGUAAUCUGCCAUCUCAUUACGUUCAGCACAUAGUUAACUAUGAACCGUUCAUCCCUCUGGAGAACUAAGGUUGUAUUAAUUAAUCACUGAUGUAGGCAGGCGUCCCAAAAGGUAAGGCACCCUAUUCCCUAUAUACUGCACUACUAUUGACCAGAGCCCAUAGGGCUGUGGUUAAAAGUAGUGUACUAUGUAGGGAAUAGGGUGCCAUUUGGAGCACACAGCCAUAGAGUGAUUAAUCAUAGGAGUAGUAUCUCUCUAGAUCAGUGUCUUACUCGGUGAGCAUACUGCCAAAAUAAGGAAGCCUUGUCCAAGCCAGAGCGGCCCAAAGGGCAGGAGCCUGUCUCCUGUUUCUGAAGCGUGAGGCAACUUAAUGUACUAGUACACCCCCUGGACAGGACACUAGUCUGUCUGUCUAUACUGGUAUAUAUUAAUGUACUAGUACACCCCCUGGACAGGACACUAGUCUGUCUGACUAUACUGGUAUAUAUUAAUGUACUAGUACACCCCCUGGACAGGACACUAGUCUGUCUGUCUAUACUGGUAUAUAUUAAUGUACUAGUACACCCCCUGGACAGGACACUAGUCUGUCUGUCUAUACUGGUAUAUAUUAAUGUACUAGUACACCCCCUGGACAGGACACUAGUCUGUCUGACUAUACUGGUAUAUAUUAAUGUACUAGUACACCCCCUGGACAGGACACUAGUCUGUCUGUCUAUACUGGUAUAUAUUAAUGUACUAGUACACACCCCUGGACAGGACACUAGUCUGUCUGACUAUACUGGUAUAUAUUAAUGUACUAGUACACACCCUGGACAGGACACUAGUCUGUCUGACUGUACUGGUGUAGAUUGUAUAUUUGAUUGCGUUAACAUAUUGUGACUAACAGAGGUGUCACAACCCAACAACUGUCACGUGACCUAUACCUACAGGGAAGAGCAGUGCUUCUCUGUCUUAUUGUGUUUGCACUGGAUCAAUGUGAAUGAAUGUAUACAAUGUUAUGUUGUAAAUAUGCCUGGAUUUGUAACCCAUGUUUAUCCAUAUGUAUUGGUUGAUAUGAUAAGCUAUGUGUUAUGCACGUAAGUAAAAAAGCUAAACUUUGUUUUGAAUAUAUGAUUACAUUAAUAAUGCCCAGAAUAUGCAACCAUGUUAAAUAUGUUAUUCAUGUAUAAUAAAAUAAGAAUAUAGACACAUCUAGUUGACAUUUUCACAUGAUGCACAAUAAACGUUUUGUUUGCAAAAAAAAUGUAAUUUUGCCUGCUUAGAAAUGAUGUGCAUGAGGUUAUUUUACUUAACAUAAUUUAGAGAGGAUGGAGCCAGCAUGAUAGGACUGAAUAUCCUGGUAGGACUGAAUAUCCUGGUAGGACUGAAUAUCCUGGUAUCCUGGUAGGACUGAAUAUCCUGGUAGGACUAAAUAUCCUGGUAGGACUGAAUAUCCUGGUAGGACUGAAAUAUCCUGGUAUCCUGGUAGGACUGAAUAUCCUGGUAGAACUGAAUAUCCUGGUAUCCUGGUAGGACUGAAUAUCCUGGUAGGACUGAAUAUCCUGGUAGGACUGAAUAUCCUGGUAUCCUGGUAGGACUGAAUAUCCUGGUAUCCUGGUAGGACUGAAUAUCCUGGUAUCCUGGUAGACCUGAAUAUCCUG
rnacentral:lncRNA from 1 species